rnacentral:rRNA from 1 species
UACGUAGGGUGCGAGCGUUGUCCGGAAUUAUUGGGCGUAAAGGGCUCGUAGGCGGCUUGUCGCGUCGACUGUGAAAUCCCGCGGCUCAACUCCGGAUCUGCGGUGGGUACGGGCAGACUAGAGUGUGGUAGGGGAGACUGGAAUUCCUGGUGUAGCGGUGAAAUGCGCAGAUAUCAGGAGGAACACCGAUGGCGAAGGCAGGUCUCUGGGCCACUACUGACGCUGAGAAGCGAAAGCAUGGGGAGCGAACAGG